rnacentral:rRNA from 1 species
UGCGUAGGUGGUGAGGUAAGUCGGAUGUGAAAGCUCGGAGCUCAACUCCGAAAUGGCAUUGGAAACUACCUUGCUAGAGGGUUGGAGGGGGGACUGGAAUGCUUGGUGUAGCAGUGAAAUGCGUAGAUAUCAAGCGGAACACCAGUGGCGAAGGCGAGUCCCUGGACAACUCCUGACACUGAGGCAAGACUAGGGAGGACGAAC